UGGGGAAUUUUGGACAAUGGGCGCAAGCCUGAUCCAGCAAUGCCGCGUGCAGGAUGAAGGCCUUCGGGUUGUAAACUGCUUUUGUACGGAACGAAAAGCCUCUCUCUAAUACAGGGGGUGAUGACGGUACCGUAAGAAUAAGCACCGGCUAACUACGUGCCAGCAGCCGCGGUAAUACGUAGGGUGCAAGCGUUAAUCGGAAUUACUGGGCGUAAAGCGUGCGCAGGCGGUUUUGUAAGACAGUGGUGAAAUCCCCGGGCUCAACCUGGGAACUGCCAUUGUGACUGCAAGGCUGGAGUGCGGCAGAGGGGGAUGGAAUUCCGCGUGUAGCAGUGAAAUGCGUAGAUAUGCGGAGGAACACCGAUGGCGAAGGCAAUCCCCUGGGCCUGCACUGACGCUCAUGCACGAAAGCGUGGGGAGCAAACAGGAUUAGAUACCCUGGUAGUCCACGCCCUAAACGAUGUCAACUGGUUGUUGGGGAUUUAUUUCUUCAGUAACGAAGCUAACGCGUGAAGUUGACCGCCU
rnacentral:rRNA from 1 species